rnacentral:rRNA from 1 species
CCUACGGGUGGCAGCAGUGGGGAAUAUUGCACAAUGGGGGAAACCCUGAUGCAGCGACGCCGCGUGAGUGAAGAAGUAUUUCGGUAUGUAAAGCUCUAUCAGCAGGGAAGAAAAUGACGGUACCUGACUAAGAAGCCCCGGCUAACUACGGGCCAGCAGCCGCGGUAAUACGUAGGGGGCAAGCGUUAUCCGGAUUUACUGGGUGUAAAGGGAGCGUAGACGGCCAGACAAGUCAGAAGUGAAAGCCCGGGGCUCAACCCUGGGACUGCUUUUGAAACUGCCGGGCUGGAGUGCAGGAGAGGUAAGCGGAAUUCCUAGUGUAGCGGUGAAAUGCGUAGAUAUUAGGAGGAACACCAGUGGCGAAGGCGGCUUACUGGACUGUAACUGACGUUGAGGCUCGAAAGCGUGGGGAGCAAACAGGAUUAGAUACCCGUGUAGUC